AUUGAACGCUGGCGGCAGGCCUAACACAUGCAAGUCGAGCGGAUGAAGAGAGCUUGCUCUCUGAUUUAGCGGCGGACGGGUGAGUAAUGCCUAGGAAUCUGCCUGGUAGUGGGGGAUAACGUCCGGAAACGGGCGCUAAUACCGCAUACGUCCUACGGGAGAACGCAGGGGAGCUUCGGGCCUCGCGCUACCAGAUGAGCCUACGUGGGAUUAGCUAGUUGGCGAGGUAAUGGCGCACCAAGGCGACGAUCCCUAGCUGGUUUGAGAGGAUGAUCAGCCACACUGGAACUGAGACACGGUCCAGACUCCUACGGGAGGCAGCAGUGGGGAAGAUUGGACAAUGGGCGCAAGCCUGAUCCAGCCAUGCCGCGUGUGUGAAGAAGGCCUUCGGGUUGUAAAGCACUUUCAGUAGGGAGGAAGAGUUGAGUGUUAAUAGUACUCAGCUUUGACGUUACCUACAGAAGAAGCACCGGCUAACUCUGUGCCAGCCGCCGCCGUAAUAC
rnacentral:rRNA from 1 species